rnacentral:rRNA from 1 species
UACGUAGGGUGCAAGCGUUGUCCGGAAUUAUUGGGCGUAAAGGGCGCGUAGGCGGUGCGGUAAGUCACCUGUGAAACCUCUGGGCUUAACUCAGAGCCUGCAGGCGAAACUGCCGUGCUUGAGUGUGGGAGAGGUGCGUGGAAUUCCCGGUGUAGCGGAUGAAAUGCGUAGAUAUCGGGAGAACACCUGUGGCGAAAGCGGCGCACUGGACCACAACUGACGCUGAGGCGCGAAAGCUAGGGGAGCAAACAGG